GCGGCCGUGGUCUAGUGGCUAAGACUCGAGCCCUCCAAGCUCGAUACCCGGGUUCAAAUCCCGGCGGCCGCACCA
rnacentral:tRNA from 1 species